GAUAUCCAGCCCAGUGGAAACAGCUGAGACUAAAUCCAAGUUCCUGUAAAUUUGUUCUCCUUUCCUUAAAAUAUAUAUUGUGUUUUGCAUGAGAACAACCACAUGCUUCAUAAUGAUACGACCGCUUCAGUGGGAUGAUCAUUUCCACAUUUUAACAAAUCCAUUCUACUGGUAUCAAUAAAAAGCUACGGUAAAUUUGAUCAAUACUCAAUAUUUUAGGAUGACAUAAAACUCAAUUUAUAUAUAAAACCUAAUUGCACACAAAUUUAUUAAAAGUGUGAAAUGUUGCCUGUAAGUGAUAAAGCAUUCCACACUGUUCCCCUGUAUUCUCUUCAAUGAAAGAAAGAUCAGAUUAGGGUUAUUACAUAGCCCUGAAAAAACAGGACUGGCCGAUCGAAAGAUUUUAUAGGUGAACUUAUUUCAUCUCAGGUUUUAGGGUAUUUUUGUUGCAGAAUCAACAACUACUGGUCCUUAGUUACACUAAGGUCUUCCCAGGCAGAGACAGCAGUGUGUAGUUGCCUUAAAAUCACAGUCAGCACCUUCCUUGUGCAGAAAUGUAGCCAAAGGUCUCUGUGUCAUUCAUGUCCUCUGCUCUCAAGAGAUCAAAGGGAUGUCGCAGAAGGCUCCAAAAGGUGGCAGCUUGUGAGCUCUGUAACUGUUUUACUGCAGCUUUGGGGUUUUUUUUUGCUUAGUCUUUCCCACAGCAAUUGCCUGGCCACCACUAACAGAUCAUUUUAGGGCUGAUGUUGGAGUCCUGUCUGUUUUCAUUAAAGACAUUUGUCUCUUAGACAAAUUAUGGUUCUUCCUUCGGCCACAGGUCCUUGGCCAUGGGGAAUUACAAACUGUUAAUGAAAGAGCUCUGCUCUACUACACCUUUCACUGGGAUAAUGGUAUUUUCCUCUCUUCACUGGCUUCUGAUGCUCUGUUUAAACUGCUGUGGGUCUCACAUGUUUACGAAAACUGACUGCAGCUUCCUGUUCACAGGACAGCACGGAGAUUUCAUUCUGAUGGGGUCGGUAAAGGUGGUCAAACGUUUUUUGAAAGACCAGUUCCCCAAAAAGUCCCGUCUGUCGAAAUUAAAACUUUUCUUUUUAUACCUUGUUUUUGAUAGAAGUUUAUUAUAUAUAUUUGAAGGGAAAAUCUUGACCUUGUCCAAUGGGCUUCAAGUAUUAGUAACCAGUUUUGGUUACCUUUCCUACCGAAAGCAAAUGUCCUUUGUAUCUGCUACACGCUGUUGCCAGAGAGGUUCAGCUUCUCUUCAAAGGCCUAAAGCCUCAGAAAGGCCUAGAAAGUCAGUUUCAGUUCUUUCCAUGAUCUAAUCCUUUCGUUCAAAAGACACUAAGUUUAUAACAGCUGCUGAAGUAUUUCAGGAAAAUAGCUAUUUCUACCGUGUUUUAUUAUGUCUGAUGCAUCCACGCAGCCACCCAAGAAUGAUUGCAUUAGCAGGAAUAACAGUAAUAAAGAGUUAUAAUCUGUGUUUGGAUGGCAAUUACAUCAUUUCUAAACAAUUCCAGAAAUUUCUUUUAAUGUAAUUUCUGCAGCAUAAAUUGGGGGCAAACUUAUAGGACUGGAUGGCCAUUCUGCAUCUGGUUUCUGUUACCGAGAUGCUGACAGACACCAUUUGCUCAGACCAUCUGCAGAGAAAAAGAUUGGGUUUUUUUCUUUUCAGACAGACUGCUUUUGCUUUCAGCUUCUGAGGCUUGAAGUAACACAAGGCACAUGUUACUUCCAGAUAAGUGUGGGAAUGGUAUUGUUAAAAUUGUUCUGUGUAGCACUUAGUCGUAUACUUGACAUAUGAAGGAUACGCUCGUGAGAAACUGAAUGUCUCAUUUUAAAUAUUUGGUGUGCAUUAAGGGGCUGAUACAAAGCCUGCUGUAAUUGGUGUGUGUCUCCCUGACUUUACUAGCAUGUAUUGGAUCCUCAGCCCUUUCUGAGAUUUGCUAAUAGGCCCAGAUUCUGUGAAAAUAUUAAUAAUUUGUCUGCCUUUUCACUUGUAACAUCCUAACUGUGUUAAAAUAUCUUCUUAAUGGAUGCUCAGAGUUAAGGAAGACUACAGAACUCUUUUAAACUAUCCUAAAUAAGGAAGAAACAAGGGGAGCACCUUAUGUUACUUGUCACCAUGACGCUCUUUACCAGCUGUUUUUUGUCUGAAGUCCAAAUCAUGUUGAUGAAGGUACCCCAAGGCUUUGUUGACCUGCAGCAGUGACCCAGAGGACAAAGCUGUUGCCCCAUGCCAGCUCUUGCCGGCAGAAUGAGACCUCCAGAUGCCAAUGUUGACUGCCUCUUCCAAAGCUGGGUGUACACUGGAGCUGCUGUUUGGGGCUGAAGUACACAAAGAGAUUAGAAGAUUUUCCUGCAAGGAACUGUCAAACAAUCUAACAACCCCUGAAGACAGAGAACAAAAUCUCCUUGCUGGGUAAUAAACUCCACAAAGGCAUGGAUUCUGUUAGAUUUGGGGCCAAAUUCAAAGAAAGCCACAUCCAGUUUGUGGACAGUCAAACAGAUAUGCUAAAAAAUCAUAAUUAUUCUGUUAAUACAUUUAUGAAACAGAAAUCCCAUCCCUCCUUCAGCCAGUUUUCAGGGUGUGAAAUAGAGUAAGUACCAGAUUUACUUUUGCCAGUUGAUUACAAAGGUGGUUUGUUUUGUUUGUUUUUUUUUUUUCCUUUUAUUAAGGAGUCUUUCAGGAAUAUGUAAUUUCUUUUUUAUCAGUGUAAUAAUAUCCCCCACCCCUUACAGAUGUAGUAAACAUUAAAGCGAAAGCCAUGAGCUAUGUGAUACCCCUCCACACUUUGAGACACUGCAGUUACCAACAGCUUUGCCAUUUGUAUGACAGAGCUUGUUUGGGGGGGUCGUUGAAGCUGCAUGCCAGUGACCAUCUCUAGCUGUGGUGUCACUUAGACCACAACACUUAAAUCCUUUACACAGCCUGCUCCUUGGUAUUUCAUUUAGUCCUUGUGACAGGAGGUCGACCUUGCUAGUUUUGGAGGCUGAAAGUCCUCUUCUUCCUGGAAAUAAUGAGAGAAGGCAGCCAGUAUUUCCUCCUGCAGAACAAGCGAUGGUAGAGGCAAACGCUCCCAGCUAUCUCAGUCUUGUAGCUUAACCUCCAUCCAGAUGGACUAAGGAGUCAAUGGCAUGAGCCUCAGCCCUUUCCACGGAGACCAGCCAGAGGAUGCUCACUGCUCUCAGGGAUGAUAAGUUUUGCUGCACCCUAUUCCUAAAGUGAGUAGUGGUAUAUCAGAAUGUUAGAAGCCCUCCUUCAAAGUAGGUUAGCUAUUUACAGGCGAAGAAGAGCUAAGAACUAAAAAUACAAGGGUGGGCAGGAGGAACGCUAUCCAGAGAUGCAGAAAUGUUUUUGUGGCUCUCGGUGUCAGUUCAGUAAAGUGGAGACAAGUAGAACAGGCUUAAGACUUAUUAGGAAAAAGUAUUUUAAAUUUUUUUUGGCAGCAACACCUGUUUCUAUUCUGUCUCGUAGGAAAACUAGCAACUGUCUACAUGUGACAGUAGCUAAAACACUCAAAAAGGCAGAGGUACUAUUGCAACACACUGUGCCCUGAAGAACGUUGUGUCCUGUUGCAGACAGAAAGCGUAAUUUUUUUUGCAGAUAAUACUUGAGACAAGUUUCUGACUUUAAAUAUUUGAUUUGACUGUUUUUAAAUAAUGUGGACAAAGCACAGCACCAUCUCCCAGAUGGAAAUCUCUUUACUAAUUUGGUUUAAUACAGGAAAUUCUGUGCUUCUUAUUAAGAAGAAGAACAAGCUCCUUUAUCACUGGCUUAUUUGGAUUACGAGUCUCCUCUUCCCAAUCUGCCUUUUCAGAAACAUCACUAUUACGGUCUGCUGUCACACCAGCUUGGGCUAUAAUGAUCUCAUAUCCCAAGCAAUGUUAAACCUUCUCUGGGACUGGUUGGAUGAAUUCCAAGAAAAAUUUAAGGUGCCACAGGAGCUGAUUCUGAUGCUUUCAAUAUGUGACCUUUGGCUGAUCUUGAAUUGUACCAAUAACCCAGUCUGGUGGUAAUGAUAUCCUCUUCUAAAUCAGAAGUAAAACUCAGAUUUUGAUCUUAAGAGGUAAUGAGGGAGCCCAUUACCUAGUUUGGACUUGACUUUUUGGCCUCCUUGUUUUCCAGCACCCCACCAGGGGCUUUGCACCCAGCCUACAGCGUUUUACCCACAGCCUGCAGUACUAGAGGCUUUAUAUUUUAGCACACGUGCACACAAAUCAGUUUCAUAAAAUCAGUCUUUGUGCUGUAGAGCAUCAGUCAGCAGUGCACUGCUCCGUUGAAGCUGAAAGGGACUGGAUUAUAGAUCAUUUGUUUUACUAAAUAGACAAACAAAAGGUAAAUCUAUGCAUCAUGUUUAUUUUGGUGUUACAGAAAAUACUUUCAUAGUGUUUAUAAAAUAAAUUCCUAUAAAAAUAUAGUGAUAUUUAGGGAGGAGCAUUAUUAAAUUUUUGGCUAAUAGUGGCUGGGAAAUAAUUUUUGUCUUAAAAAAAAGCCCUUUCCAAAAGUAUUACUACUACAGUUAUGACACCUGACCUUCCAAAAUGCCAAGGGAGUGCUGUGGUGCUCUGACCAUCUGUAAUUACACAGAAAAACCAGUCUGCUUGUUUGCAUCAGGAAGGUGCUCUUGAUGUGAAUCUCCUGGUAACCUGCUUUUACAGCACUUCGGUUCACAUCGUGGAGUGGCCUCGGAGCACGUCAACUGAAUUCCUGCUGGAUGCAGCUGAGUAAGAAGACAUGCGCUUCAAUCGCAAGUGGGCGUUUGGUCUUUGGGACCCCUCUGAAGCUUGUCCAAGAGCGGGGAAUGCCCUGUCCUCAAACGCAACAUAUUAAAAACUGCACAGUGAGGAUGCCAGGUUCUCAAUACCAACCGUUAACGCUGUUCAGCUCUGCUCUGUCACCUGUAACAGGGCAGCACCUUUGAUGCAAAUUGCUUCCACGCUCAGUUCUGCAGGCAUGCUUUCCAUCUGAAAGAGAGGGAAAUUGUUUCUGAAGUGUUGAGGUUAACAGACAGUUUCUUCCUGUGCUGUGAUGUUUUUCAAAUACCAGCUGCACCAUACUUCGGCAUGAUCCCUAUUAUAGUGUUUAAAGCCACCUCUCAAAAUGUCUUGUUAUAGACAAUUCACAUUUAUUUAUUCAGAAGACAAGAUGAGGUGAGAACGCUGUACUUAUUCAGGCAUUACUGGCUGUUGAUCUUUUAUGUUACUGCUGGUCUCGGUGAACUUCACUAACUUUUACCAAGUUCUUUCCAGUUUGACUCCACACUUUGGACCAGUCUGAGAAAUAUUUGGGACUCUGCCCUUCUGUGAAUCCUCAGACCUGUAUCUCGAUUUGAAGCUCUCCAGUGUUUGGGAAGGCUAACAUCAGUGCUAGUUUUAGUUACUAUAAAACAUAUGUUAAUAAAUUAUUAUUUUUAUUACAUAUUCUGAUAGCAUCAAAAGCAGUUGUGAGAUUGAGCAUCUACUUAUCAACUGUCUCCUUUGAGGGUGUUCAUGUAUAAAAAAAAGCAAGUGUACCUGCAUGGACUCUGCAACUUCAAUUUUACUUUCUAAAGAGCUUUGUGAGAUCCUAAAAGCAUUCAAAGUCUAGACUAAUUGUGACUGUCAAUUAUAUGUACAGAUCUUGAAAGUUUAGUGCUUUCUUUGUUAAAAUAAUACUACUGCAGAAAAAUUUUUCACUGCAUUUUGAAUACGCCAUCAAAUCAUUGGUGCUUGUCAGUAAAGAAAUAAGUUGCUCCUACUUUAUUUCCCAGUUAUUUCUGAACAAGAAAUAUAAUACAUUUGAGGAAUGCUUUGAGGUUUUUUUUGUUUUCAGUCAGCCAUAACUUGGCCAAAGCAAAUGUAAGUCAAUUCCAUAAAAUAUUUCUGGCAGAUAAUACCAUCUUCUUUAUUCAGGAUAAAGCAUGCUGUUACUAAUGGCAGGGGGGUAUUUCCAGUGCAUCACCAUGGCUUAACAUGGUAUCAAAUUUUUGCAUACCCUGACAGCUUACCUUCCCCUCUCCCUCAGUAACUCAAAGGAAGUUGGAAAGCGUAAGGGAUUUGUAUGGUUUUAAAAGAAAUUGUGCCUGUAGUUACCAUUUUUUGUAAAACAAAGGUUGGAAGCUUGAAAAAAAACACAUGAGCAAUUACUUUGCCUUGUACCGUGGCUUUGACAUUAGGUAUUUGUCAAACUGUUGCAGAAGGCGGCACUGCCAUUAACACAACUUCUAUCCGAAGAAACACUUGAAGUUUAUUUUUCUGAAGGCAAUUUAGUCUCACAAAUCUCUGAAAGGAAAGAGUAUAGAAAUUCCCUUCUGCUUUGCAAAAAGGCGGUCUAGAGAGAACUUGUCUCAUGAUCCACAAAGGUUAAAUUAAAAAACAGAUGUCUAGAAGUUGUCCUCUACCUGACAGCAAACCAUAGAAACCAGGGAUGCCUUUUUGAAUACCCCUUUCUCUUCCUUGCCCACACAAGAACAUCAUAUCCACUGAACCCCUAACUUUACCAGUGAAAUAAAUGGGAUUAUUAAUGUUCUGAAAGAGGACUUUUCAACACUGUAAUGUAGAGGAAAAGCAACUCGCCCUCCCCCAACAGUUUAAACCUAUUGGUAUAGAAAACAUUCUGUGUUUGUAUUACCUGGUGCUAUUUACUGAAAAAGCUUUUUCUCUUUCUUUUUACAUUUAUUUUCCCUUUUUUAUUUUACUUUUCCUUUUCUUUUUCUUUUCAUUCUUCUUUUUCUUUGCACAUGCAAAAAUACAUGCACAAAAUCAGGUUACAACAGCAUUACCAAGAUUACAAAAUCCAGCCUACCUAAAUUAGGCAAUGGCAGACUUAGAGGUACUAUACAAUACUGAUUUAUGUGUUUGUACACGUGUACUAUGAUACAGUCAAUAAAUAUACCACUGAGUUCCACUGUUUACCUUGGGUACCUGCCAGUACAUGGACAGAAGUUGCUCACUCAUGGAGUAGUAAAGUACUAUUUCUGGCCACCUUCAUUAUUCAGGGCCAAAAUCCCUGCCUUUUAUUUACUGUGCAUCAGUUCUCCUUCAGAGCAGGGUUUGAAUUAUUUCACCAUCUCACCGGGUUUUUUUAAAGGCAGCCAUCAGUACAGUUUGUAAAACCUCAUUAUUAUUAUUAUUGUUGUUGUUGUUAUUGUUGUUAUUAUUAUUGAUAGUGAUAGCUUUUUUUGUGGAUAUAAAAGCAAAUGGAGAGAUUCAUGUUAUAAUUUUUUCUUUUGGGCACCCAGUCCGGAACACUGAAGACCUGCUUUUUCAAGGGAAUAUGUAAUAGCCAUUCAUAUAUUCAAAGCACAGCUUCCAGAGGAUUUAAUGUCAUUUGGGAAUUUUUCCACGUCUUAAAUUCAGAAAUGUCUUCAGCUCAAUACUCAGCCAAUAAGGAUCCAGAUUGGUGACCCCAUGAGAUGGUGCCUUACAGUGAGAUAUAUUUACAAGAGGCUGGUAAAAGUAUUUCUUUCUCUUCAGUGCUUGUUUGCGGCAUCUGCACAUGCUUGCCUUUGAGCAAGUCCCUGACGGCACACGCUGGGACAGAGCCACGAUCCCCCUAGCAUGUGCACUCAUGGUCUCGUGGAGCUCUGGUCAGGGAACUACAGGCAAGCUUUUCCCUCGAGCCUGGUGUGUAGGCAACAACCAUGGGGUGAACUGGCAAAAGGAAUGAGUCCCCUUCUGGGAGACCUUCUGAUCCCCCCCACAGUCCCAUGAGCAUGGAAAAGACGAGAAACGGUCGAGCUUGGUGAGAAAAACUCACAAAGCAACCCGUGCUUCGGAGCCUAAGAAUGGACUAGUCAGGAAAAGAUUUGGGCCAGUAUCUUCUCCUGCAAACAAUGAUCCAGCUGGCCGGUGGGACGUCAGGUGGAAUGUCUCCUAUCUCUGUUAUCUCUGUAGUGCUGGAGCUGGUAGAAAGACCCGCCACAUUGUAAUUGAGCAAUUCUGUUUGGCAACAGCAAUUCUAGUUGGCAACAGCUUCUGUCUGCACCUCGUACAUGAUGUUAUCUGAAACAACACAACAAAAAUAGUCAUAUUUUGCAACUUACAUCCUGGACAGAGUAUAAGCCAACAAUCAGAAGGUGAAAGGCUGUGUAAAAAGUGCCCUGGAGUGCAGAAGAGAGAUACUAAAGCUGGUAAACUACCAUGAAAGGAAGUUUGAUAAUACUGCUUUUAGAUAUGCAUUAGUUUCAGUGUUCUUUAUACUCUGGGAUGAAGCAGACAGUUUUUCCAAGACAAGCAAUGAUGGAAAAUCAUACCAGUGAGAGCGAGCCAGCAAGGAAAAGCUAGCACAAGAUCCAUACACUGGCAGGAAAUAGUGAAACUAUAUUUCAUUUUACAUUCUUGUCUUUAUUCAGAGAUAACAGUAGAGAAACAAUACUUCUCCCCCAGCUUCCAAACCAUUUGGUCCUGGGAUUCCUUUCCUACCCUGGAUGGAGGUUAAACUGCUCUGGUGGAUUAAUCACUGAGUUCAGUGCACGCCAAGGCUUUCCCAGGUGUAUCUGUCCUCAGCUCUUCGUCUUGCUCUAAAGUUGCAGGCGAUGUUUGAGCCCACGGCUUUUCCUGGAAGCGCAAGCGGUGCUGCUUACAAACACGACUUCUCCUUCCAGGGUGGGGGUUGGCUGGAGCUGGCAAAUACGGGUAAUAAUCAGGCCUCUGUGGAUCUCGAGGCUAGAUUACAACAGUUCGUCUUCAUACAAAUGUUUAUAUUUAAAAAUAAAGUACCAUAGUUAGUCA